CAUGCACAUAGCACGCAUUCGCAUCGUCUCUGCAUGUGUUGUUUCUCCGCGCUUAGCAUCCUCUACAGCAAACCCUCCCCGCCGCUCGGCAGGCCACCGCUACUGCUGCGCUGAUGGUUGUCUCACUCAUCGGCCCGCUGGACUCACCGUACGUGCAGCGCACGCUGCUCGUCGCCGCGUACGCCGGUAUUCAGCUGAAGCUGGUGCCGAUCCAGAUUGGGAGGGAGAACGAGACGGAGGAGUACCGCCUCAACUGCCAUCCCAUGCAGCGCGUGCCGGUCAUGAAGACGGAUGAGGGGUACCUGUUCGAGUCCAACGCGAUGAUCCGCUACUUGGCACGUACGGAGGUCAUGCUCGUGCCCGUGAGCGCCGGCAUCGACAGCGCCGGGGCGAACAACGAGAAGAUCCCGCACCCGCAGUACCCGAUCCCGUAUGCCAUGUAUGGUCACUCGCUGCUGGAGUCCACGCAGGUGGACAGCUGGCUUGAUUUUGCCAUCACGCGCAUCGACUUCUACACAAGGCAGUUCUUCGCGUACGAGCACAAGACGAGGCCGAAGCCGGCCGCAGACAUGAAGACGCUGCUAUGCAAGAGCCUGGACGGACUCGAGCGGCGUUUAGCCUACCUAAAGGAGGCUUGCCGCGCUCUCGUGCAGCAGUCCGGCUCGCUGACGUCGCGCUCCGUUAUGACGGACGAGGAGCUGGUCUGGAACGAGGAGGACUACAUGGCCUCUCGCGCGACGCGUGAUUCGCGCCUCAGCUCCGUGUACAACGUGGCCGGGUCGAUUCGGCAGCGCCACAUGGAAAAGGAGCGGCAGGAGCGGGAGAAGCAGCUGAUGCUCAUCAAGAAGACCACCGACGAGGCGCUGGGCAAGGAGGAGGGCGCCGACGACCCUCACCCCUCCAGCCGUCGCCCGUCAGUGUCGCGGGACAGCAUGGCUAUCUCGGCAACGCCGCGCGCGUCGGUGCUGAUGUCGGCUCGCAGCACCAUGGGCAGCGCUGCCUCCGUCGUGCAGCGCCAUGAUCUGCUCUUCCUUGUCGGGGGCUCGCUGACGGCUGCGGAUCUCGUGAUGGCCAUGUCGCUCCACGGUGUCCUGUGCUGCCAAGAGCUGAAGCCGGUGCUUACUUCCAAGUAUCCAAACUCGUUCAAAUACUACAAGAGUGUGCUGAUGCUGCCUGUUGCGGCGGAAGUGAGGAAGGCAAUUCGCCUGAGCAUCAUCAAGGAGUAGCAAGGGAGGGAGGGGGAGAGAAAGGCGUCUGGCGGACGGGUGGCAGCUGCACUGACAGAAAGUCGGCGUUAACGGCAGGAGGAGGCAGCCUCACGGAGCUACAUGCACAUGUCCCUUUCGUGUCGUGACGGUGGCACCGGCGACUCGGAAGCGCCCUGAUGUGAGAAGGCGCCGGUGUGGUGGGCCUUCAUUCCGGUCGUUGUCGCGCCUUUCAGGCAUCCGUGCUGCCCUGGCGCCCCCACUCCACCCCACCCUCUUCCACUAGUACGUCUUCGAGUCAUCGACUGCCUCCGACUUUCAGUCUCUCUCGCUUGGGCUCCCCUAUUUCUAUAGAUCUAUAUUUCUCUAUGUCGCUCUACUCGAAAAGGGCGGCGCCGAGGCGGUGCAUGUCGACUGUGCAGCGGAGCCCUCUCUCUCUCUCUGACGACGCCUCCCCUCCUCCUCCUCGCCCCACCAACCCCGCGGACCUCUCCUCUCCCCUCCCCUCCCCCGACUUCGCCAACGCGCGUGAUCGUUGUGGGGGGGAGGAGAGGGAGGGCUGGUCUCGUUUCUUUUACAUCAUAGUUGCUCUUCGGCCUUGCUUGCCUGCUCUUCGUCCGCAUCGGUGUGUGCGCGGGUGUGCGCAUUCAACUUCAACCGCUCCCACUCGCUCUCGCCACCCCUUCCUCUCGCUGACCCAUCUCGUGCCACUACCAACGGCAGCCUGUGCGCGUCGUUCCUCUGCACCAUAGUCAGAGGCGAGAGAGCGACAGGCGCAGGGCACGCCUCCCCUCACAGUUGUGUGUGUGUGUAUGUGGUGUCUCUUUCUCAACUCUUUCGCUUCCUUUCAUUGUUCACGUCGACGCCCCCUCCCUCCCUCUCCCCCUCCCGCACGCGUGCGCGUCCCUCUUCUCUGCAUGCUCUUUUUUUUUUGCGGUGCCUGUUCUGCCUUCUCACCUCUGCUCGGCGGUGUGGCUGCUGGUCCGCCUGUGUAAUCGGAGAGAGGCGGCGGUGUGCGACGGCGUGUGCUUUUUGUGUCUUCCUGCGCACUCUCCACUCGUCGCUCUCGCUCGCUUCUCCCUGAGUGCGUCGUUGGCUUACAUUCUCGUAGUUCCUCACACACCUUCCGUCCACCACCGCCACCGCCCACGCAGCUCCGAGCGUUACGGGGAGGAGGGCAUUGGACGGCAACUACUUCAACGAAAAUGUGUAUCAUUGGGUGUCUUGUUUCAUGAAAGGGGGAGGAGGGGGGGUGGGCCUCCGUCGCUUGUGUGUGUGUGUGUGUGUGUGUGCGUGUCUGGACUUGUCGGGUGCGUCGGUGGAUCUUGUCCAUCUCUUCGCUCCUCUCCGAAAAAUCGGCAACCGCAU
rnacentral:misc_RNA from 1 species